CACCGAGGUGGCUUCUUAAGUUGGAUGUGAAAUCCCCCGGCUCAACUGGGAGGCGCCAUUCAAAACUGGGGAGCUUGAGACCAGCAGGGGAAAGUGGAAUUCCCGGUGUAGUGGUGGAAUGCGUAGAGAUCGGGAGGAACACCAGUGGCGAAAGCGACUUUCUGGGCUGCGUCUGACACUCUAGUGCGAAAGCGUGGGGAGCAAACA
rnacentral:rRNA from 1 species